GAUGAACGCUGGCGGCGUGCCUAAUACAUGCAAGUCGAGCGAAGCGGGGACGGGGGAGUAACACGUGGAUAACCUCCUUUACGUCCGGGAUAACUUCGGGUAACCGGUGCAAAAACGGCUACUGAUAGAUGGAUCCGUGCUGCAUUAGCUAGGUGGUAAGGUAACGGCUUACCAAGGCAACGAUGCAUAGCCGACCGGAGAGGGUGAUCGGCCACACUGGAACUGAGACACGGCCCAGACUCCUACGGGAGGCAGCAGUAGGGAAUCUUCCGCAAUGGGAGAAAGCCUGACCGAGCAACGCCGCGUGAGUGAAGAAGGUCUUCGGAUCGUAAAACUCUGUUAUUAGGGAAGCGGUACCUAAUCAGAAAGCCACGGCUAACUACGUGCCAGCAGCCGCGGUAAUAC
rnacentral:rRNA from 1 species